CAGCGCCACGAGUGGUAACCACGUUUAUUGGGCCUAAAGCGUCCGUAGCCGGUUUGAUAAAUCUUUUGUGAAAUUGUACAGCUUAACUGUACAGCGUGCAAGAGACACUGUCAAACUCGAGACCGGGAGGAGUCAGAAGUAUUCCAGAGGGAGCGGUAAAAUGUUAUAAUCUCUGGAGGACUACCUGUGGCGAAGGCGUCUGACCAGAACGGAUCUGACGGUGAGGGACGAAAGCUAGGGGAGCGAACCGGAUUAGAUACCCGAGUAGUCC
rnacentral:rRNA from 1 species